rnacentral:misc_RNA from 1 species
GUGAGUCAUCGAAUCUUUGAACGCACAUUGCGCCUCCUGUAACAGGGAGGCAUGCCUGUCUGAGCGUCAUUUAAAUCCAUAACCCCCCCUCCUUUGGGUGGGGUUGUCUUGGGCGUCGCAUAGUAUUGCGUGGCCUGAAAGCCAUAGGUCUUGAGCGGACGAGAUCCAUUUUGGACUGACCGUUUGACGACCCUAAACCCUCUCUGACUUGACCUCAGAUCAGGUAGGACUACCGCCUGAACUUAAGCAUAUCAAUAAGCGGAGGA